GAUACACCCCUUGGACUAGAUAGCAUUGGCAUUGACGAUGAGAGCUAUAGGCUUGAAGAUGAUGUAAUUGUGAACCCCAGUAUAGUUGCUGAUGACUGAUGGAGUAUGGAUAAAGAUAAGUUGAUAUCAGAAUUAACUUAUUCCGUCCUUGGUAUUAAUGGUACUUCAAAUGACCAACUGGCAACUACGAUGCUGCAAAUGAUGUUUCUUUUUUGGUUGAAUCAAAAUGUUUGUUCUUAUGGACUGUUUAAUCAUACUUUGAACUCGGCUGUUAUUUCUAUUAUUCAUUGUUUAUGAUCUUCUGAAUUAUGUAUAAUUAGC